AUCAAGCUACAAAGAGCUUAUGGUGGAUGGCUUGGUUGGCGCAGACGACGAAGGGCGUGGCAAGCUGCGAUAAGCUGCGAGGAGGCGCAAGCAGCCUUUGAUUCGCAGAUUCCCGAAUGGGGUAACCCAUCCAAGAUAAUGCUUGGAUACCCUAUACUGUAUGGUGUAGGGAGUGAACGUGGGGAAGUGAAACAUCUCAGUACCCACAGGCAAGAGAAACCGAAAGGGAUUCCCCCAGUAGCGGCGAGCGAAAAGGGAAUAGCCUAAACCCAAAGAGUGUAAUAGUCUGCCGGCGUUGCUCUUUGGGGGUAGAGGGAUACUAUUGGAAAGAACGGCAGUUCUUUCGGGAAGUUACAAAACCUUUCUUUAGCUGAAUUGUCUGGGAAGACAAACCAUAGAAGGUGAGAGUCCUGUAGGCGAAAAAGAAAGGUCUUCCUGGAUAGUAUUCCCAAGUACCAUGAGGCACGGGAAACCUUGUGGGAAUUUGCCCCGACCACGGGGUAAGGCUAAAUACUCGCGCCAGACCGAUAGUGGACUAGUACCGUGAGGGAAAGCUGAAAAGCACGCAGGUGAUGCGAGUGAAAUAGAACCUGAAACCAUAAGUUUACACAGCGGUCGGACCGUAAGCCUUUAUGGUUUAUGGGACGGCGUACCUUUUGCAUAAUGGUCCAAGGAGUUACUGUCUGUAGCAAGUCUAAGUCUUGGCAUGAAAGUGUCAGAUGUAGACGUAGGGAAACCGAGUCUGAAUAGGGCAUUUACCCUGUUUUACAGGGUGAGUUGCAGGCAGUAGACCCGAAGCCAGUCGAUCUACCCAUGGCCAGGGUGAAGCCACGAGAAAUCGUGGUGGAGGCCCGAACCGGUGUCGGUUGAAAACGGCUCGGAUGAGCUGUGGGUAGGAGUGAAAGGCUAACCAAGACUGGUGAUAGCUGGUUCUCCCCGAAAUGCCUUUAGGGGCAGCCUCCAGUAAAUGGGUCAGGAAGGUAGAGCACAGGAUGAGCUAGGGUCGGAUGUUCCGAUACCAAACUCAACCUAACUCCGAAUGUCCUGAUAUACCUUAUCUGGGGAGUGAGACUGUGAGGGCUAAGCUUCAUAGUCGAGAGGGAAACAGCCCAGACCGUCAGCUAAGGUCCCUAAAAGUAGACUAAGUGGUAAAGGAUGUGGAGUGACUUAAACAGCCGGGAUGUUGGCUUAGAGGCAGCCACCAUUUAAAGAGUGCGUAAUAGCUCACCGGUCGAGUUACUCUGCGCCGAAGAUGAUCGGGGCUUAAGUCUACUACCGAAGCUACGGCUCUGUACCAUAGCUUGUGCUUAGGUGCAGGGGGUAGGGGAGCAUUCUAUACGCGGAGAAGUUUAACCGUAAGGUUAAGUGGAGCGUAUAGAAGAGAUUAUCUUGGAAUGAGUAGCGAAAAUCCCGAUGAAAAAUCGGGACGCCGAAAACCUCAGGUUUCUCCGUCAAUGUUAAUCAGACGGAGGUUAGGCGGUCCUAAGCUAAACCCUGGUUUUCCCAGGGGUAGGUGAUGGGUAAAGACGUUAAUAUUCGUCUCCCACCUAUAAGCGCUAACUUAAGAGAGGACGCACAAAGUGUGGUGGUCGGACGGUUGGAUGUGUCCGUCCCUGUAUCCUUUGUGGUACAGGGGGAGUCCAAGCUACGGCGCGGAUAAACCCACUUAAACUGAGUGCCAAGAAAAUUCUCUUAGGUUGUUUAUAGGUGACCGUACCGCAAUCCAACACAGGUAGGUUGCCAGAGUAUGGUAAGGCGCACGGGAGAAACCUUGCUAAGGAACUCGGCAAUAUAGCCCCGUACGUUCGCAAGAAGGGGUCCCUGUACUAGGCGCUUGCGCUUCAGUACAGGGCGCAGUGAAAGGGCUCCCGGGACUGUUUAGCAAAAACACAGGUCCUUGCUUAAGCCGUAAGGCGAUGUAUAGGGACUGAGACCUGCCCAGUGCCGGAAGGUUAAGGCAAGAGGUUACCCUGUACCAUUUGGCGCAGGGGAAGCUUCAAACCGAAGCCCCGGUGAACGGCGGCCGUAACUAUAACGGUCCUAAGGUAGCGAAAUUCCUAGUCGGGUAAGAAAGGUUGGGCUUGCCCGUAAGCCAGCUCAUAACGGUGGAAGUUUCUUGCCUAUACCUGUGUACUAGGAGCAGGUUUAGUGGCAGGGCCAAUACCGUGGGAAGUGAGGUAUAAAAAACCGAACCCCGUAACGACUUCUCCGAUAAAUAGUGUUGGAGAGGCUCUCUUUGAUAUCCUUUAGAGGGAUAAAUUCAAAAAGAGGGCAACACGCUGGCCAUCAGUUUCUGGGGAAGGAGGAAUAUGUUAAAUCCUCAAUACGUUACAGGAUUUUGUGAUGGAGAAGCUUCCUUUAGUGUUACUCUUUCUCCCCGGGGAGAUUUCUGGGAAGUUAGGCCGAGUUUCUCUGUAUCUCAAAACAAAUUAUCAAGAGGGAUACUUUAUCAAUUGAAAGAAUUUUUUGAGUGUGGGUAUGUAAGGCCCUCUCGAGGAGAUAAUACUUAUAAAUAUGAGGUGUGUAGUCUAAAGGAUUUGGCUACAAAGGUUAUUCCUCAUUUUGAAAAGUACCCUCUCAAGACACAGAAACAGAGAAACUUUAAGGGUUUGAAAAAAAUAGUCCAUCUUAUGGAGAGAAAAGAGCAUCUUCAUCAGCGAGGAGUAAUAGAGAUUCUCGAAAUAAUGGAGAAAAUCAAUCUUGCCAGUAAAAAAAUUUAUAACCGCCAAGAAAUCCAGAAACUGGUGAAGGUAUAGUCUAUAGUUGAAGUUCCGACCCGCACGAAAGGUUUAACAACGGGAGCGCUGUCUCGGCAAGGGUCCCGGCGAAAUUGUAGUGGCGGUAAAGAUGCCGUCUACCCGCAGUAGGACGAAAAGACCCCGGAACCUUUACUGCAAGCUGGUAUUGAAUUUUGGUCCGGUAUGUGUAGAAUAGGUGGGAGGCUAUGAAUCUCGGGCGCCAGCUUGAGAGGAGCCGUCGGUGAAAUACCACCCUUACUGUACUAAGGUUCUAACCCCUUUAUAGGGGACAGUGCCAGUUGGGCAGUUUAACUGGGGCGGUUUCCUCCUAAAAGGUAACGGAGGAGCUCAAAGGUACCUUCAGUCCGGUUGGAAAUCGGACGUUGAGUGUAAGGGCAUAUGGGUGCUU
rnacentral:rRNA from 1 species